CAUCACAAUGAAAUGCUUGUUCCCAUAUGAUCCCUGAAGUUAAAUAAAGUUGAGCUUGGUCUGUACCAAGAUGGGUGAACACUUGGGAAUACCAAGUGCUGUAUG